GACGAACGCUGGCGGCGUGCCUAACACAUGCAAGUCGAACGAGACCUCCGGUUCUAGUGUCGCGCGGGUGGGUAACGGGCGGAAAGCUGACCAUAGGGUCGGUAUCAUUCCCCGAACGGGGUGCUAAUAGCGUAUAAUUUCUUCGGACCAAGGAUUUAUCGCCUUUGGAUGUGGCCGCGUUGGAUUAGGUAGUUGGUAUGGUAAGAGCCUGCCAAGGCGCCGAUCCGUAGCUGGUUGGGGUGGAGGCACAGCCAAACCGGGACUGAGACACGGCCGUGACGAAUACGGGAGGAAGCGGGGGAGAAUAUUGGACAAAGGGCGAAUGCCUGAUCCAGCAAUGCGGGGUGAGAGAUGAAUGCCUCAGUGAUGUAAACCUCUUUUGUCCGUGAGUAUAUUGACAGUACCGGGAGAAUAAGCGCCGGCUAACUCCGUG
rnacentral:rRNA from 1 species